AUACUGGGAAAGAAUGGGAACAGUGAGCAAAAAUCUCGAGAAGUACAUGGAACAAAUAGGGGAUGCGAUAAGGGCGGAGCACUUUCAGAAAACAGC